UAAAAAUCUACCUGUAUGAAAUAGUGUUUAUUUAUUUUUUUAUCUUAUGUAUCAGACAUAAGCUUACAUUAGAGCUCAAAUUACGAUAUUGGGGAAAAAAAAAUAUGUUGUGAUAUAUUCUUGUUCUGAGAUAUAUGUAUUGCAGAUAAUUGCCAGAUUUACCAGAAGUGAAUGAUCCAGCAUGCUAAGAUAUUAAUACUGCAUUCUGUUGGAUCAGUAAUUGUAGUAAUAGUAUAUGGUAUUAGGUGUACAUAAUUGUUAAUCUGGUAGAUAUUGUGAAUUUUUCUUUGUAUUAAGCAGUAUAAAGUUUUGAAAGUGAUUUUUCCUCUCUCUCUCUCUCUCUCUCUCUCUCUCUCUCUCUCUCUCUCUCUCUCACACAGCUCUGUCAGAGAUCUCCAGUGUGGUGGAGGUGUGGCAGGCAGAAGAGGCGGAUUUCUUGGUGCCUCCUCAGGCUGUAGAGGAGAGGAGUCCUGAGAGUCUCCCCCAGGAGGAAAGGUGAGUUUUACACACCCCACACACACACACACCCAACACACACACCCCUACACGCCACAGUUAUCCCUGAUU
rnacentral:lncRNA from 1 species